rnacentral:rRNA from 1 species
AGGGGGCAAGCGUUAUCCGGACUUACUGGGUGUAAAGGGAGCGUAGACGGCUUUGCAAGUCUGUAGUGAAAGCCCGGGGCCCAACCCCGGGACUGCUUUGGAAACUGUGUAGCUAGAGUACAGGAGGGGCAGGCGGAAUUCCUGGUGUAGCGGUGAAAUGCGUAGAUAUCAGGAGGAACACCGGCGGCGAAGGCGGCCUGCUGGACUGAAACUGACGUUGAGGCUCGAAAGCGUGGGGAGCAA